rnacentral:rRNA from 1 species
UACGGAGGGAGCAAGCGUUGUUCGGAUUUACUGGGCGUAAAGGGCGCGUAGGCGGCCAGCACAAGUCAGUUGUGAAAUCUCCGAGCUUAACUCGGAACGGUCAACUGAUACUGUGCGGCUAGAGUGCGGAAGGGGCAACUGGAAUUCUUGGUGUAGCGGUGAAAUGCGUAGAUAUCAAGAGGAACACCUGCGGCGAAGGCGGGUUGCUGGGCCGACACUGACGCUGAGGCGCGAAAGCCAGGGGAGCGAACGGG